rnacentral:tRNA from 1 species
GAUUUCUUAACUAUAUAAAGUAUGUAUUUUGAAAAUACAAAAAAGAUUCCUCAUCUAGAAAUCU